GCAAAGGACUGAAAAUCCUCAUGUUAGCGGUUCCAAUCUGG
rnacentral:tRNA from 1 species